GAUGAACGCUGGCGGCGUGCCUAAUACAUGCAAGUCGAGCGAACGGACGAGAAGCUUGCUUCUCUGAUGUUAGCGGCGGACGGGUGAGUAACACGUGGAUAACCUACCUAUAGGACUGGGAUAACUUCGGGAAACCGGAGCUAUACCGGAUAAUAUUUUGAACCGCAUGGUUCAAAAGUGAAAGACGGUCUUGCUGUCACUUAUAGAUGGAUCCGCGCUGCAUUAGCUAGUUGGUAAGGUAACGGCUUACCAAGGCAACGAUGCAUAGCCGACCUGAGAGGGUGAUCGGCCACACUGGAACUGAGACACGGUCCAGACUCCUACGGGAGGCAGCAGUAGGGAAUCUUCCGCAAUGGGCGAAAGCCUGACGGAGCAACGCCGCGUGAGUGAUGAAGGUCUUCGGAUCGUAAAACUCUGUUAUUAGGGAAGAACAUAUGUGUAAGUAACUGUGCACAUCUUGACGGUACCUAAUCAGAAAGCCACGGCUAACUACGUG
rnacentral:rRNA from 1 species